rnacentral:rRNA from 1 species
GGUUAAGCGACUAAGCGUACACGGUGGAUGCCCUGGCAGUCAGAGGCGAUGAAGGGCGUGCUAAUCUGCGAUAAGCGCCGGUAAGGUGAUAUGAACCGUUAUAACCGGCGAUACCCGAAUGGGGAAACCCAGUGUGAUUCGUCACACUAUCAUUAACUGAAUCCAUAGGUUAAUGAGGCGAACCGGGGGAACUGAAACAUCUAAGUACCCCGAGGAAAAGAAAUCAACCGAGAUUCCCCCAGUAGCGGCGAGCGAACGGGGAGGAGCCCAGAGCCUGAAUCAGCAUGUGUGUUAGUGGAAGCGUCUGGAAAGGCGCGCGAUACAGGGUGACAGCCCCGUACACAAAAGCGCAUGUGCUGUGAGCUCGAUGAGUAGGGCGGGACACGUGGUAUCCUGUCUGAAUAUGGGGGGACCAUCCUCCAAGGCUAAAUACUCCUGACUGACCGAUAGUGAACCAGUACCGUGAGGGAAAGGCGAAAAGAACCCCGGCGAGGGGAGUGAAAAAGAACCUGAAACCGUGUACGUACAAGCAGUGGGAGCCCCACCACUAAGCCAGUGGUGAACUCCACAUACGCAUCCUUUGCUGAGGAUACGGUUAACGGAGCGAAAGCGACGUUCAACCUCAAAAGAAGCAGAGGGGGCUUAGUGGUGGGGUGACUGCGUACCUUUUGUAUAAUGGGUCAGCGACUUAUAUUCUGUAGCAAGGUUAACCGAAUAGGGGAGCCGGAGGGAAACCGAGUCUUAAUUGGGCGUUAAGUUGCAGGGUAUAGACCCGAAACCCGGUGAUCUAGCCAUGGGCAGGUUGAAGGUUGGGUAACACUAACUGGAGGACCGAACCGACUAAUGUUGAAAAAUUAGCGGAUGACCUGUGGCUGGGGGUGAAAGGCCAAUCAAACCGGGAGAUAGCUGGUUCUCCCCGAAAGCUAUUUAGGUAGCGCCUCGUGAACUCAUCUCCGGGGGUAGAGCACUGUUUCGGCUAGGGGGCCAUCCCGGCUUACCAACCCGAUGCAAACUGCGAAUACCGGAGAAUGUUAUCACGGGAGACACACGGCGGGUGCUAACGUCCGUCGUGAAGAGGGAAACAACCCAGACCGCCAGCUAAGGUCCCAAAGUCAUGGUUAAGUGGGAAACGAUGUGGGAAGGCCCAGACAGCCAGGAUGUUGGCUUAGAAGCAGCCAUCAUUUAAAGAAAGCGUAAUAGCUCACUGGUCGAGUCGGCCUGCGCGGAAGAUGUAACGGGGCUAAACCAUGCACCGAAGCUGCGGCAGCGAACGUAUCACCCAAGACAACUUUACGGAGUUGACGAUUGACGGAGCGAAGCGACGUCAAAGCGUUCAUUAAAGUCGAGUUGGCUUAGGGAUACGUUCGUUGGGUAGGGGAGCGUUCUGUAAGCCUGUGAAGGUGGCCUGUGAGGGUUGCUGGAGGUAUCAGAAGUGCGAAUGCUGACAUAAGUAACGAUAAAGCGGGUGAAAAGCCCGCUCGCCGGAAGACCAAGGGUUCCUGUCCAACGUUAAUCGGGGCAGGGUGAGUCGACCCCUAAGGCGAGGCCGAAAGGCGUAGUCGAUGGGAAACGGGUUAAUAUUCCCGUACUUGGUGUUACUGCGAAGGGGGGACGGAGAAGGCUAUGUUGGCCGGGCGACGGUUGUCCCGGUUUAAGCGUGUAGGUGUGUGUUCCAGGUAAAUCCGGUUCACUUUAACACUGAGGCGUGACGACGAGGCACUACGGUGCUGAAGCAACAAAUGCCCUGCUUCCAGGAAAAGCCUCUAAGCAUCAGGUAACAUCAAAUCGUACCCCAAACCGACACAGGUGGUCAGGUAGAGAAUACCAAGGCGCUUGAGAGAACUCGGGUGAAGGAACUAGGCAAAAUGGUGCCGUAACUUCGGGAGAAGGCACGCUGACACGUAGGUGAAGUGAUUUACUCAUGGAGCUGAAGUCAGUCGAAGAUACCAGCUGGCUGCAACUGUUUAUUAAAAACACAGCACUGUGCAAACACGAAAGUGGACGUAUACGGUGUGACGCCUGCCCGGUGCCGGAAGGUUAAUUGAUGGGGUCAGCGCAAGCGAAGCUCCUGAUCGAAGCCCCGGUAAACGGCGGCCGUAACUAUAACGGUCCUAAGGUAGCGAAAUUCCUUGUCGGGUAAGUUCCGACCUGCACGAAUGGCGUAAUGAUGGCCAGGCUGUCUCCACCCGAGACUCAGUGAAAUUGAACUCGCUGUGAAGAUGCAGUGUACCCGCGGCAAGACGGAAAGACCCCGUGAACCUUUACUAUAGCUUGACACUGAACAUUGAGCCUUGAUGUGUAGGAUAGGUGGGAGGCUUUGAAGUGUGGACGCCAGUCUGCAUGGAGCCGACCUUGAAAUACCACCCUUUAAUGUUUGAUGUUCUAACGUGGACCCGUUACCCGGGUUGCGGACAGUGUCUGGUGGGUAGUUUGACUGGGGCGGUCUCCUCCUAAAGAGUAACGGAGGAGCACGAAGGUUGGCUAAUCCUGGUCGGACAUCAGGAGGUUAGUGCAAUGGCAUAAGCCAGCUUGACUGCGAGCGUGACGGCGCGAGCAGGUGCGAAAGCAGGUCAUAGUGAUCCGGUGGUUCUGAAUGGAAGGGCCAUCGCUCAACGGAUAAAAGGUACUCCGGGGAUAACAGGCUGAUACCGCCCAAGAGUUCAUAUCGACGGCGGUGUUUGGCACCUCGAUGUCGGCUCAUCACAUCCUGGGGCUGAAGUAGGUCCCAAGGGUAUGGCUGUUCGCCAUUUAAAGUGGUACGCGAGCUGGGUUUAGAACGUCGUGAGACAGUUCGGUCCCUAUCUGCCGUGGGCGCUGGAGAACUGAGGGGGGCUGCUCCUAGUACGAGAGGACCGGAGUGGACGCAUCACUGGUGUUCGGGUUGUCAUGCCAAUGGCACUGCCCGGUAGCUAAAUGCGGAAGAGAUAAGUGCUGAAAGCAUCUAAGCACGAAACUUGCCCCGAGAUGAGUUCUCCCUGAGACUUAGAGUCUCCUGAAGGAACGUUGAAGACGACGACGUUGAUAGGCCGGGUGUGUAAGCGCAGCGAUGCGUUGAGCUAACCGGUACUAAUGAACCGUGAGGCUUAACCUU